rnacentral:rRNA from 1 species
CCUGGUAGUCCACGCUGUAAACGAUGAGAACUAGAUGCUGGGCAGCUUGACUGUUUAGUAUCGAAGCUAACGCGAUAAGUUCUCCGCCUGGGGAGUACGGUCGCAAGACCGAAACUCAAAGGAAUUGACGGGGGCCCGCACAAGCGGCGGAGCAUGUUGCUUAAUUCGAUGCAACGCGAAGAACCUUACCUGGGUUGAACUACGCAGGAAAAGCCACAGAGAUGUGGUGUCCGAAAGGGCCUGCGAUAGGUGGUGCAUGGCUGUCGUCAGCUCGUGUCGUGAGAUGUUGGGUUAAGUCCCGCAACGAGCGCGACCCUUAUCCCAUGUUGCCAGCGGGUUAUGCCGGGGACUCGUGGGAGACUGCCGGGGUCAACUCGGAGGAAGGUGGGGAUGACGUCAAGUCAGCAUGCCCCUUAUGUCCAGGGCUGCAAACAUGCUACAAUGGCCGGUACAAAGGGUCGCAAGCCUGCGAAGGUAAGCCAAUCCCAUAAAGCCGGUCUCAGUUCGGAUCGGAGUCUGCAACUCGACUCCGUGAAGUCGGAGUCGCUAGUAAUCCCGAAUCAGCAACGUCGGGGUGAAUACGUUCCCGGGCCUUGUACACACCGCCCGUCACACCACGAAAGUUGGUAACACCCGAAGCCAGUGGCCUAACCGCAAGGA